CUGGCUCAGGAUGAACGCUAGCGAUAGGCCUAACACAUGCAAGUCGAGGGGCAGCAUAGAGUAGCAAUACUUGAUGGCGACCGGCGCACGGGUGAGUAACACGUAUGCAACCUACCUACAUCAGGGGAAUAACCCGGAGAAAUUCGGACUAAUACCGCAUAAUACAGGGAUGCCGCAUGGCAAUAUUUGUUAAAGAUUUAUCGGAUGUAGAUGGGCAUGCGUUCCAUUAGCUGGUUGGUAAGGUAACGGCUUACCAAGGCAACGAUGGAUAGGGGAACUGAGAGGUUUGUCCCCCACACUGGAACUGAGACACGGACCAGACUCCUACGGGAGGCAGCAGUGAGGAAUAUUGGUCAAUGGACGAGAGUCUGAACCAGCCAAAUCGCGUGAAAAGGAAGACUGCCCUACGGGUUGUAAACUUCUUUUGUACAGGAAUAAAAGACAUUACGUGUAAUGUAUUGCAUGUACUGUACGAAUAAGCAUCGGCUAACUCCGUGCCAGCCGCCGC
rnacentral:rRNA from 1 species